CCCACAAUACAAUCCCAAUCUCUGAAAUUUCACUUCAUUUCUCACCAUGAAUCCCGACAAGUUCACCCACAAAACCAACGAAGCUCUCGCAGCCGCCCACGAGCUCGCCCUCACCUCCGGCCACGCCCAGCUCACCCCCCUCCACCUUGCUGCCGCCCUCGCCGCCGACCCCAACGGCCUCCUCCCCCAGUCCAUCUCCUCCGCCUCCGGCAACCCGUCGGCCGCUGACUCUUUCAACCGCGUCCUCACACAAUCCCUCAAGAAACUCCCCUCCCAGAGCCCUCCCCCUGACGAGGUCCCCGCCUCCACCUCCCUCAUCAAAGUCAUCCGCCGCGCCCAGUCCUCUCAGAAAUCCCGCGGCGACACUCACCUCGCCGUCGACCAGAUCAUCCUCGGUCUCCUCGAAGACUCCCAGAUCAACGACUGCCUCAAGGAAGCCGGCGUCAGCGCGGCCAGUGUGCGCUCCGCCGUCGAUAAGCUCCGCGGCAAGGACGGCCGCAAGGUCGAGAGCGCCUCCGGCGACACCAAUUUCCAGGCGCUGAAAACCUACGGCCGAGACCUCGUCGAGCAGGCCGGGAAGCUCGAUCCGGUCAUUGGUCGGGAUGAAGAAAUCCGACGUGUCGUCCGCAUUCUCUCCAGACGGACCAAGAACAAUCCCGUCCUGAUUGGCGAGCCGGGGGUGGGGAAGACGGCGGUUGUCGAGGGCCUGGCUCAGCGAAUUGUACGCGGUGACAUUCCCAGCAAUCUCGCUGAUGUCCGGCUCAUCGCUCUUGAUAUGGGAGCGCUGGUUGCCGGUGCAAAGUACCGUGGAGAGUUUGAAGAGAGGCUUAAGUCUGUGUUGAAGGAGGUUGAGGAGGCCAACGGGAAGGUUAUUCUGUUUAUUGAUGAGAUUCAUCUUGUGCUUGGAGCUGGUCGGACUGAGGGGUCGAUGGAUGCGGCAAACUUAUUUAAGCCGAUGCUUGCGAGAGGCCAGCUGAGGUGUAUUGGUGCGACAACGCUGGAGGAGUACCGGAAGUAUGUGGAGAAGGAUGCGGCGUUUGAGAGGAGGUUUCAGCAGGUCUAUGUUGCUGAGCCGAGCGUGCCUGAUACAAUUAGUAUUCUUCGUGGCCUCAAGGAGAAGUAUGAGGGGCACCAUGGAGUCAGAAUUCAGGACCGGGCGCUAGUUAUGGCGGCGCAGCUGUCUAGCCGAUACAUUACUGGGCGGCACCUACCUGAUAAGGCGAUUGAUUUGGUGGAUGAGGCUUGUGCCAAUGUGAGGGUUCAGCUGGACAGCCAGCCGGAGGAGAUAGAUAAAUUAGAGAGGAAACGAAUUCAGUUGGAGGUUGAGAUGCAUGCCCUAGAGAAGGAGAGUGAUAAAGCCAGCAAAGCCAGGCUUGUUGAGGUUAAGAAGGAAUUAGAUGACCUGCGGGACAAGUUGCAACCACUGAUGAUGAAAUAUAAAAAGGAGAAGGAAAGGAUUGAUGAGAUCAGAAGAUUGAAGCAACAACGUGAGGAGGUAUUGUCCACAAUACAGGAGGCAGAGCGGAGAAUGGAUCUAGCCCGUGUUGCAGAUCUGCGAUUUGGAGAGCUUCGUAGACUUGAUGCAUCUAUUGCUAAGAUAGAGGGGGAGACUAGUGAAAAUUUGAUGUUAACUGAGGCAGUUGGACCUGAACAAAUAGCAGAGGUUGUUAGCCGCUGGACUGGUAUCCCGGUGACUAGGCUGGGCCAAAAUGAUAAAGAAAGGCUUAUUGGUCUUGCGGAGCGAUUGCAUAAAAGAGUUGUCGGACAGGAACAAGCAGUUGAUGCAGUGGCUGAGGCAGUGCUGAGGUCCAGAGCCGGGCUUGGUCGUCCUCAGCAGCCGACCGGAUCCUUUCUUUUCUUGGGUCCAACUGGUGUU
rnacentral:misc_RNA from 1 species